AUCUGUGAUGAUUAAAUAUGUCGCCCCAGUCUGAUGUAUAAAAAUACACUGACUGAUUGACUUACUCAUUCAAUCUGAGAU